rnacentral:rRNA from 1 species
GAGCUAAUACAUGCGAACAAACUCGACGCAAGGAGAGGUGCUUUUAUUAGAUCAAAACCAAACAGCUUCGGCUGUAAUACUGGUGACUCUGGAUAACUUUGGGCUGAUCGCAUAGCCUCGAGCUGGCGACGUUUCCUUCGAAAGUGUGCCCUAUCAACUGUCGACUGUGAUAUAGACGCUCACAGUGGUUUUGACGGGUAACGGGGAAUCAGGGUUCGAUUCCGGAGAGGGAGCCUUAAAAACGGCUACCACAUCCAAGGAAGGCAGCAGGCGCGCAAAUUACCCAAUUGUCGAAGACAGAGGUAGUGACGAAAAAUAACAAUACAAGACUCAUCCGAGGCCUUGUAAUUGGAAUGAGUAUACUUUAAAACCGUUCCCGAGGAUCUAUUGGAGGGCAAGUCUGGUGCCAGCAGCCGCGGUAAUCCCAGCUCCAAUAGCGUAUAUUAAAGUUGUUGUGGUUAAAAAGCUCGUAGUUGGAUUUCGGCAGUCAUUGGUCGGUUUGAAUCGCUUCAACACUGACUUUUUUGACUGUGUGCUUUGCCAGAAUUCAGCGGGUGACCUUAACCGUUUGUCCGUUGGGGCUGGCAGGUUUACUUUGAAAAAAUUAGAGUGCUCAAAGCAAGCUUCAUUGCUUGAAUAUUUCGUGCAUGGAAUAAUAGAAUAGGAAGUCGUUUCUAUUUUGUUGGUUUUCGGAAAUGGACUUAAUGAUUAAUAGGGAUAGUCGGGGGCAUUUGUAUUCAAACGACAGAGGUGAAAUUCUUGGACCGUUUGAAGACAAACUACU